CUGGCGGCGUGCCUAACACAUGCAAGUCGAGCGAGGAGAUCCUUCGGGAUGAUCCUAGCGGCGGACGGGUGAGUAACACGUGGGCAACCUGCCUCAUAGAGAGGAAUAGCCUUCCGAAAGGGAGAUUAAUACCUCAUAACAUUGCAGUUUCGCAUGGAACAGCAAUUAAAGGAGUAAUCCGCUAUGAGAUGGGGCCCGCGGCGCAUUAGCUAGUUGGUGAGGUAACGGCUCACCAAGGCGACGAUGCGUAGCCGACCUGAGAGGGUGAUCGGCCACAUUGGGACUGAGACACGGCCCAGACUCCUACGGGAGGCAGCAGUGGGGAAUAUUGCACAAUGGGGGAAACCCUGAUGCAAGCAACGCCGCGUGAGUGAUGACGGCCUUCGGGUUGUAAAGCUCUGUCUUCAGGGACGAUAAUGACGGUACCUGAGGAGGAAGCCACGGCUAACUACGUGCCAGCAGCCGC
rnacentral:rRNA from 1 species